ACAUGUACUCUUCUGGUUCCCUCAUUGGUGUUCAGGAAGAGGAGGUUUGUGCCUCCCGGUGAGCUGGGUGCUAUGACAGAUUAGACUUUUAUGCGAGAAAAUAAAUCCUGCACAUGUGAUGUACUGCUUUAGACUCAAAGACCUCUUGGAACCUGGGACUGUAAGGAACUUAGGAGAAUAAUUGGAGACACUCAUCCAAUGGGAAAUACCUUAUGAUCAAAUUCUCAAGGAAAGAAGACAUGAGCCAAACAUUUUGUAUCCAGUGAAACUGACUUUCAAAUGAAAAAAGCACCAGUAAUCUUCAACUCUUUCUGAAGAAUCUGCUAGAGAUUGAGCUUCGGGUAACCUAAUGACCAGAGAGACAUCAACAGAAGAACU